GAUGAAGAACGUAGCGAAAUGCGAAAAGUAAUGUGAAUUGCAGAAUUCAGUGAACCAUCGAAUCUUUGAACGCACAUUGCGCCCGCUGGAACUCCGGCGGGCACGCCUGUCCGAGCGUCAUUUCAACCCUCAGGCCCCCCUUCGCGGGCGGGCCUGGUGUUGGGGCCCGGCCGCUACCCUGCGGCCGUCCCCUAAAUCCAGUGGCGGCCUCGCCGUGAUCCCUUGCGUAGUAAUGCACCUCGCACCGGAGAGCGCCGUGGCCACGCCGUAAAACCCCCAAUUUUCAAUGGUUGACCUCGGAUCAGGUGGGAAUACCCGCUGAACUUAAGCAUAUCAAUAAGCGGACGA
rnacentral:misc_RNA from 1 species